rnacentral:rRNA from 2 species
AACUGCGAGUGAAGCGGGAAAAGCUCAAAUUUAAAAUCUGAUAGUCUCUGGCUAUCCGAGUUGUAAUCUAGAGAAGCGUUAUCCGCGCUGGACCGUGUAUAAGUCUCCUGGAAUGGAGCGUCAUAGAGGGUGAGAAUCCCGUCUUUAACACGGACUACCGGGGCUUUGUGAUGCGCUCUCAAAGAGUCGAGUUGUUUGGGAAUGCAGCUCUAAAUGGGUGGUAAAUUCCAUCUAAAGCUAAAUAUUGGCGAGAGACCGAUAGCGAACAAGUACCGUGAGGGAAAGAUGAAAAGAACUUUGGAAAGAGAGUUAAACAGUACGUGAAAUUGUUGAAAGGGAAACGCUUGAAGUCAGUCGCGUUGGUCGGGGAUCAACCUUGCUUUUGCCUGGUGUACUUCCUGAUUAACGGGUCAGCAUCAAUUUUGACCAGUGGAAAAAGUUCGAGGGAAUGUGGCAUCUUCGGAUGUGUUAUAGCCCUUGUUCGUAUACAUUGGUUGGGAUUGAGGAACUCAGCACGCCGCAAGGCCGGGUUUUACCACGUUCGUGCUUAGGAUGCUGGCAUAAUGGCUUUAAUCGACCCGUCUUGAAACACGGACCAAGGAGUCUAACAUACCUGCGAGUGUUUGGGUGGAAAACCCAAGCGCGUAAUGAAAGUGAAAGUUGGGAUCUCUGUCGUGGAGAGCACCGACGC